rnacentral:misc_RNA from 1 species
UUAUAAUAUUAUAACAUGAGAGACAAAUUACUUGGGGAAAAAACACCGUGGAUGCAGCCUGGGAUUGGAGUAGGUGAUGGAGGGGGUGGCGGUAGAGGAGGAAGAGGAGGAAGAGGUGGAGGAGGAGGAGGAGGAGGAGGAGGAGGGGGUGGUGGUGCAACCCACGUGGCUGGUAUAGCCGACGAUGAGGCACCGAAAGAUCCAGGUGCUCGUAUCACCCACCAAUCCUACACCGAGAAGGAUUACGAAGGUCACCGAGCACACACGGUCUAUGUGGGUGUACAUUUACCCGGAGAGAGAAGACACCGUCGUCAUCAUAAACACCAUCAUUCCCAACGGCAAUCUUAUGGGGAGAGUAACGAUGAUACCGACAACGACAGACCCAACAUUGCAGGACAAUUGGUGAUGAAGCGCAGGUCUCGUCUCGCGAGCAUUUGCGACCCCGACGGCGAGAUGAUAUUCACGCCACCGGCCCAGAGAGUGCAAUUUAUUCUCGGCGAGGAAGUCGGGGACGAUGCUCACGAAUCGCAUCCUCUAUUUUCCGAAAUGGAAGAACUUGUCAAGGAUGGAGAUGAAAUGGAAUGGAAGGAAACCGCUAGGUGGAUCAAAUUUGAGGAAGACGUUGAAGAAGGUGGAAACAGGUGGAGCAAACCACACGUAGCAACGUUAUCGUUACACUCGCUCUUCGAAUUGAGAAGUUUACUUUUGAAUGGAACUGUUAUGCUUGACAUGGAAGCCAACAGUCUCGAACAGAUAACUGAUUUGGCUUUGGAUAACAUGAUCAAUAAAGGUUCACUACCGAUCGAGACUCGAGAAAAGGUAAGAGAAGCACUUUUGGUGAGACAUCGACAUCAGCACGAAAGACGCAAGGACAACAAUAUGUCGAGAUUACCGAUUAUCAGAUCCUUGGCAGAGAUCGGCCGUAAUCAUUCGUCCUCGAAGAAAAACGGCUGUACAUGUGGUAUGCAUGCCUUGUUGACAUCAGAUUUGCAGGAGCGUCGUGAACCCGGGGACGCCUAUGCGCCCUCAGUUGGCCGUAGCAGCAGUUGUCCGAACUCAAACACGGCCCUUCUUUCGAAAGAAGCUAAAGAUCUCAAAGGGCCUUACCUUCUGGUACCAGCCGAAAUCGGCAUACCCCACGUGGUGGGAUUUACGGCGUGGUUCGCCAUGUGUCAGCUGAAAGGACAAGAACCAGGUGCCAACGGAAUCGAUCGAAGUCCUAGCAGCGUUUCGAUCAGCAGAAAUCAUAGUUCUUCCGCUUUGGAAAAUGGGGAUGCCAAUCAUCGGGGUAAUACACAUUUUAUGAGAAAAAUACCAGCGGGGGCGGAAGCCAGUAACAUUCUCGUAGGGGAAGUUGAUUUUCUUGACAAGACCUUGUCCGCCUUCAUACGACUCAGUCAAGCAGGAAUAAUGGGUGAUCUUACGGAGGUACCCGUUCCAACGAGAUUUAUUUUCGUACUUUUAGGACCCAUGGGUGGAAUUUCGGGUUUCCAUGAAAUUGGACGAGCAAUGGCGACGUUAAUGUCCGACGAGGUCUUCCACGAUGUCGCUUACAAGGCCAAAAAUAGGAAUCACCUUCUUGCCGGUAUUGAUGAGUUUCUAGAUGCUGUUACCGUUUUACCACCGGGCGAAUGGGAUCCUACGAUUAGAAUCGAACCGCCAGCUGCCAUUCCGUCGCAAGAAGUUAGGAAAAGACCGAAAGAGGAAAAACCUAAAGAAGAAGUUGACGAAGAAGCCGACGAACAAAAGCAAAGAGAGGAAUCUGGUUUGUCGAGAACUGGAAGAUUAUUUGGUGGGCUGAUAAACGAUAUCAAAAGAAAAGCGCCAUUUUACUUUUCCGAUUUCAAAGACGCUUUAGCAUUGCAAUGCGUCGCAUCCUUCAUUUUCUUAUAUUUUGCCUGUCUGUCGCCUAUCAUCACUUUCGGUGGUCUACUCAGCGAAGCUACGGGAAAAAACAUGGCCGCUAUGGAAUCAUUGGUCUCAGGUUUCGUUUGCGGACUCGGAUACGGAUUUUUCUCCGGACAACCGUUAACCAUUCUUGGAUCAACCGGUCCCGUAUUGGUCUUCGAGACAAUCGUAUUUGAAUUUUGCAAACAAUCCGAUUGGAAUUACAUGUCAUUUCGUUUCUGGAUCGGCACGUGGACCGCCAUCAUUUUGUUAACCCUCGUCGCCCUUGACGCGAGCGCCUUCGUCUGCUACAUAACUCGUUUUACGGAAGAAAAUUUUGCCACCCUCAUCGCUUUCAUUUUUAUUUACAAGGCUGUGGAAAACGUCCUCUCGAUUGGCAAAAAGUAUCCCAUAAAUACUCACGCCAACGAUCACUUGGCUUACGAUUGUUGGUGCAAACCACCGAACGAUAGUUCGCUUUACGGCACUGAGAACGUCAAUUGGACGAAUAUGAAUCGGACUACGUGCCAGAUUUACAAUGGCACGCUGAUGGGAGAUAGUUGUAACAUACAGCAACCUGUACCCGAUGUGUUCCUCAUGUCAAUUAUCCUUUUCAUGGGCACCUUCUUGUUAUCCAUCGAGAUGAAGGACUUUAAGAAUGCUCUUUUCUUUCCAUCUAAGGUCAGACAAGUGGUCAGCGAUUUUGCGGUUAUAAUAGCAAUCUUUUCUAUGUCCUUGUUGGAUCACUUCGUGGGUAUCCCAACGCCAAAGUUAGAAGUACCUGAAGAAUUCAAACCGACCUUGGAUGGCCGGGGAUGGAUGAUUUGGCCUUUUCAGAAUAAUCCAUGGUGGAGCGCCAUCGUGGCUAUUCUACCAGCUCUCUUGGGCACUAUAUUGAUCUUUAUGGAUCAACAGAUCACAGCGGUGAUCGUUAAUAGAAAAGAAAAUAAAUUAAAGAAAGGAUGCGGCUAUCAUCUGGACCUUUUUAUCCUGGCGAUCCUGAUCGAAAUCUGUUCGGUUAUGGGAUUACCAUGGUUCGUAGCUGCCACGGUGCUUUCGAUAAAUCACGUUAACUCGUUGAAAUUGGAAUCGGAGUGCGCGGCACCAGGGGAAAAACCACAAUUUUUAGGUGUCAGAGAACAGAGAGUUACGCACAUACUGAUCUUCUUAAUGAUCGGUUGCUCCGUUUUACUGACGCCAAUGUUAAGACACAUACCAAUGCCAGUACUGUUCGGUGUCUUCCUUUAUAUGGGUGUUGCGUCUUUAAAAGGAUUACAAUUCUUCGAUAGAAUACUCAUCAUGCUUAUGCCGGUGAAGUACCAACCAGAUUAUAUGUUCCUUCGGCAGGUGCCAUUAAAACGCGUCCACAUUUUCACGGCUAUACAAUUGACUUGUCUGGCGUGUCUUUGGAUCAUCAAAUCGUUUAGCACCACAUCCAUUUUAUUCCCAUUGAUGCUCGUGGUGAUGAUCGGAAUUCGAAAAUCUUUGGAUUUCGUUUUUACUCAACGCGAAUUGAAGAUACUCGACGACGUGAUGCCGGAACCAAGCAAGAAACAUGCCGACGAUCUUCGCCAAUUGGAAAGCGGCGAGGAACAUCCAAAUUAUCCAAUCGGUUAUGGACCACCGGAAAAUAUUCAAAUAUCUUUGGCGAAUGGAAAUAUUAUGAAGAUUCCACUGGCUAGCAUCAAUAUCAGCGAGGAAGUUAAUAAAACUGGAAUUUGGCAACAAGUUAAUGAAAGUAACGAGAAAAAAAAACCUAAACAAUCUAAAUUAAUGAACGUAAGCAAAUCGAAGAAACACUCAAAGAAGGAGGGCUCGUUGCUGGUCGAUGAGACAACAAGGCUGACAACUAUGACCGAGGAGGAGGAGGAUGACACUGGCAUAUCGAUCAAGGUGACGAGCGUAAAUGACUCUAAAUUCUAACAAGCAUCAUCACAGCAAGACACACAGCAAGAGCACCAAUACACCGGCAUGCGACAUGUACCCAUGUACCACAGCUGUAGAUCUGAUAAGAUCGAAGGAGAGUAUCGGCCCAGUGAAAGUAAAUGGCACUACAUCGGCAGAAACAUCUGUUUAACGAUUACGAU